UACGGGGGGGGCAAGCGUUGUUCGGAAUUACUGGGCGUAAAGGGCUCGUAGGCGGCCAGCUAAGUCAGACGUGAAAUCCCCAGGCUCAACCUGGGAACUGCGUCUGAUACUGGAUGGCUUGAAUCCGGGAGAGGGAUGCAGAAUUCCAGGUGUAGCGGUGAAAUGCGUAGAUAUCAGGAGGAACACCGAUGGCGAAGGCAGGACUCUGGGCCGACACUGACGCUGAUGUACGAAAGCGAGGGGAGCAAACAGG
rnacentral:rRNA from 1 species